CAAAACAAAAACCCUAAUUUCAUCUUUCAAACUCAAUUUCAUCUUUCAAACUCAAAACAAAGCGCAUCUUUCACUCUCUCUCGUGUUUCAGUCUCUCACUCUCUCGUUUUUCAUCUGGACCGAUCAACCUAGCGAGAGAUCAAAUUUCUCUCCUCGCAAGAUCGAAUCUUUCUCCGGCAACUCUCAGCCUCUCUUCUAAUCUCACUCUCUCGUUUUUCCAUCUCUCUCUCUCUCUCUCUCUCUCUCUCUGUGUGUUGACCGGUGAAGAGAUCGAUUGACCUUCGCAAGAUCGACUCUGCUCUGCAACUCACAAGGGGAGCGGGAAAGAGCAGUCAUGGAAGAAAUUUUGGAAAUGAUAUUCAUCAAAUGAAUCAAUGGCUACUAUGUAAAUUCUUGAUCUAGGAAGAAAGAAAGGUUCUGAAGUGUUGUUAGGUCUGUAAAAACAUAAAUCUUGAGAUUGUGAUUUUCAUACAUAAGUACAUUGGAUUGAUUGGAUAUUCGUCAGUAUAAUUGUGAUUUUUUUUUUUUACUAUGCUUCUACUUGGUUGAUUUUUUUUAAAAAAAUAUUUAAUGUCAUGUAUAUAUUAGUUGCAGAAGCAUAAGUUUAUUAUUUUAUGGUUCAUUGAUGUUCUCAUUUUUUAUC